rnacentral:hammerhead_ribozyme from 1 species
GUACUGAUGAAGAGUCCCAAAAAGUAGGACGAAACAACUGUCCAGUAU